rnacentral:rRNA from 1 species
UACGUAGGGGGCUAGCGUUGUCCGGAAUCAUUGGGCGUAAAGAGCGUGUAGGCGGUCCGGUAAGUCCGCUGUGAAAUUCCUGGGCUCAACCUGGGGGCUGCAUUUGAUACGUUCGGACUAGAGUGGGGAAGAGGGUCGUGGAAUUCCCAGUGUAGAGGUGAAAUUCGUAGAUAUUGGGAAGAACACCGGUGGCGAAGGCGGCGACCUGGUCCUUGACUGACGCUGAGGCGCGAAAGCGUGGGGAGCAAACAGG